rnacentral:rRNA from 1 species
UGGGGAAUAUUGCACAAUGGGCGAAAGCCUGAUGCAGCAACGCCGCGCGAGGGACGACGGGCCUUCGGGUUGUAAACCUCUUUUNGCAAGGAGAAGCGAAAGUGACGGUACUUGCAGAAAAAGCGCCGGCUAACUACGUGCCAGCAGCCGCGGUAAUACGUAGGGCGCAAGCGUUAUCCGGAAUUAUUGGGCGUAAAGAGCUCGUAGGCGGUUUGUCGCGUCUGCUGUGAAAACCCGAGGCUCAACCUCGGGCCUGCAGUGGGUACGGGCAGACUAGAGUGCGGUAGGGGAGAUUGGAACUCCUGGUGUAGCGGUGGAAUGCGCAGAUAUCAGGAAGAACACCGAUGGCGAAGGCGAUCUCUGGUGCCGUAACUGACGCUGAGGAGCGAAAGGGU